rnacentral:rRNA from 1 species
CGGGUCGUAAAGCUCUUUAGGUUGGGAAGAAGGGCAUGGGCUGAAUAAUCCUGUGUUUUGACGGUACCGACAGAAUAAGCACCGGCAAACUCUGUGC